rnacentral:rRNA from 1 species
GACGAACGCUGGCGGCGUGCCUAAUACAUGCAAGUCGAACGCAGUGGGGACGGGUGAGUAACCCGUGGGUAACCUCCCCAUCAGAGGGGAUAACACUUGGCAACAGGUGCUAAACCGAUACUGAUGGAUGGACCCGCGGUGCAUUAGCUAGUGUGUGAGGUAACCGCUCACCAAGGCCACGAUGCAUAGCAGACCUGAGAGUGUGAUCAGCCACACUGGGACUGAGACACGGCCCAGACUCCUACGUGAGGAAGCAGUGGGGAAUCUUCGGCAAUGGACGAAAGUCUGACCGAGCAACGCCGCGUGAGUGAAGAAGGUUUUCGGAUCGUAAAACUCUGUUGUUAGAGAAGCGGUAGCUAACCAGAAAGCCACGGCUAACUACGUGCCAGCAGCCGCGGUAAUUC